rnacentral:tRNA from 1 species
GGUCGGAACGGCCCGGUCGGGGAAGGGAGGGUCUUUCUCAGGCCUGGCCGGCGAGUUCGAAGCCCGCCUCGUCCAC